rnacentral:rRNA from 1 species
AUUGAACGCUGGCGGCAUGCCUUACACAUGCAGGUCGAACGGCAGCAUGAUCUAGCUUGCUAGAUUGAUGGCGAGUGGCGAGCGGGUGAGUAAUACAUCGGAACGUGCCCUGUAGUGGGGGAUAACUAGUUGAAAGAUUAGCUAAUACCGCAUACGACCUGAGGGUGAAAGUGGGGGACCGCAAGGCCUCAUGCUAUAGGAGCGGCCGAUGUCUGAUUAGCUAGUUGGUGAGGUAAAGGCUCACCAAGGCGACGAUCAGUAGCUGGUCUGAGGAGACGAUCAGCCACACAGGGGCUGAAUGACGCCCCGUACUCCUACGGGAUGAAGCUGUGGGGAAUUUUGGACAAUGGGGGCAACGCGACUCCAGCAAUGCCGCGUGUGUGAAGAAGGCCUUCGGGUUGUAAAGCACUUUUGUCCGGAAAGAAAUCGCACUUACUAAUAUUAGGUGUGGGUGACGGUACCGGAAGAAUAAGGACCGGCUAACUACGUGCCAGCCGCCGCGGUAACAC